rnacentral:rRNA from 1 species
UACGGAGGGGGCUAGCGUUGUUCGGAAUUACUGGGCAUAAAGCGCACGUAGGCGGCUUUGUAAGUUAGAGGUGAAAGCCCGGGGCUCAACUCCGGAAUUGCCUUUAAGACUGCAUCGCUAGAAUUGUGGAGAGGUAAGUGGAAUUCCGAGCGUAGAGGUGAAAUUCGUAGAUAUUCGGAAGAACACCAGUGGCGAAGGCGGCUCACUGGCCCGUUACCGACGCUCAGGCGCGACAGCGUGGGGAGCAAACAGG